CAAAGAAAGGAGGUGAUGUUUUUGGAUUUUGCAAUGAAGGGGACUAAACCUAAGUUUUUUAUUAAUGAGCCUGACAAGAUUUACAAAUCCUGCUCCUACGUAUCUCCGGGUGCAAUAGAGAAAUCAAGGCUUACGUAGUUUUGGGUAGAAAAAUGUUUGUUUGUUGGUCAUUUUAGCGAAAGCUGUAUUGUAUUAAUCGAC
rnacentral:lncRNA from 1 species